UAAUGGGAAAGUUAGGCAUAUAUAAAUUUAUCAGAUACAGAAAUGAAAAAAUCCUAGAAUGGCAAUUAUCAUCCCUCGGAGAGACUGUAUUAGAAAUAAAAAACCUUCUUCAGGGGUAAAGUCCUGAAGCAGUUCGUUCAGGAGAGCUUCUAUUUGAAAUAUAUGAUCUAUUUUUCAAGUUUACAUAAUGUAUUUCAUAUUAAAUUACAUACAAACUCAUAGAAUGACAAAUAUGUUUACUUGGUGUAUAAAUAUGAGAAUUUAUAGAUAACAACCUGUUCUUGGGGGCACACAUGAAUUUGUCAGCUCAUGAAAUGUAAAGCAAUGUCAAAAAAGCAUGUAUGGGUGAGAGUUUAUUGAAAUAAGAAAGGUUCUUCAUGGAUAAGCUUCUAGAGCAAUUCGUUCAGGAGAGUCUUUAUUUGAAGUAUAUAAACAUGAGAUUUUAUACAUAACACACCGUUCUUGGGGCUAAUUUCAGGCACACAUAAAUUUAUCAGAUCAUAAAUCACCGUUCACACCGUUC